UCCCUGGUGGCUCAGAUGGUAAAGCGUCUGCCUAAAAUGCAUGAAACCCGGGUUCAAUCCCUGGGUUGGGAA
rnacentral:tRNA from 1 species